AGUUCGUUUCACCGCCUCGAAGACGACCUCCGAUCUGUUCUCGCUCUCCAAGGACGACGAAAAUUGUUUUCGGCUGCCAAAUAUAUGGAUCCAGUGAGUACCUCGCUGCUGAGGUAAUCUCAAUAAUCUGCAUUAGGAUUUUUUUUUGUUGGUUUGUUCGGUGCCUUCACUUUCAGUUUUCGAUGCCAUUGACGAUGGAUAUGGUCAGCACAAAAAGGGUUGCAAUUGACUACGCAAAAUCUGGUUUUGCAUCUACGAUUAUUGGCUAUUUUUCAAGGGGAGAUCAUUGGUGGCGAUCCACAUAACGACGCCAAGGCAAUGUAGGCGCCGCCACCAAGGCGAUUCAAAUAGGAGAUUAUGUUUUUUGGUUUGUUACAUUGAGUUGUGUCAGUAGUGGAUUACGUAUGUUUUUAGUGGUUUUCGAUAAGUUUGUCGUGGAUUACGUAUGCUUUUAGUGUAUUUCGAUUUGUUUGUAGUGGAUUACAUCACUAUUAAAGUGGAUUACGUAUGUUUUCAGUGGUU